rnacentral:lncRNA from 1 species
AAGGUUUAGAACUUCUAAUUCCAGAUAUAGGAAAUACUGCUCUGGUGUGUUUAGCCAACUCACAAUGAUCACAAACUAACAAAUUUUUAUUGCAUUUAGUUGAUAAAGACGGAAAUAAGCGACUAAGAAUAGAAAAAAGAAUGUGACCCAGCCUACGAUGAUGUAACAUAAGUUCUGAAGUGGCACCUUCAACAGACAAUGCAUACCCCAUCAAAGAAGAAUUCAUAUUUUUCUCAUCAGUUGAUAGAUAAUAGAGUCCAUUGUGUAAUCUACCACC